AUUGAACGCUGGCGGCAGGCCUAACACAUGCAAGUCGAGCGGUUGACGGGAGCUUGCUCCCUGAUUCAGCGGCGGACGGGUGAGUAAUGCCUAGGAAUCUGCCUAUUAGUGGGGGACAACGUUUCGAAAGGACCGCUAAUACCGCAUACGUCCUACGGGAGAAAGCAGGGGACCUUCGGGCCUUUCGCUAAUAGAUGAGCCUAGGUCGGAUUAGCUUGUUGGUGAGGUAAUGGCUCACCAAGGCGACGAUCCGUAACUGGUCUGAGAGGAUGAUCAGUCACACUGGAACUGAGACACGGUCCAGACUCCUACGGGAGGCAGCAGUGGGGAAUAUUGGACAAUGGGCGAAAGCCUGAUCCAGCCAUGCCGCGUGUGUGAAGAAGGUCUUCGGAUUGUAAAGCACUUUAAGUUGGGAGGAAGGGUUGUAGAUUAAUACUCUGCAAUUUUGACGUUACCGACAGAGUAAGCACCGGCUAACUCUGUGCCAGCAGCCGCAGUAAGAC
rnacentral:rRNA from 1 species